GGCGGGGCCAGGCACGAGGUGAACUCCUGUGAGCUGCACCAGUUGAGGGCCUUGGACCCAGGGCCGAGCCACGGGCUGCACAGCCCUUCCAGUCCCUCUUCAGCAGAACAAAGAAGGUGGGCUUAAGGAAGCAACGUGCCUAGUUGUAUGGAGACUUAGCUGCUGAGUCUAGGCAGCACCCUGGGCAGCAGGGCAGGACUGAAAAAAAGGCAGGGACGACCUGGCCAGGAGCUAUCGAGGACACCUCUAGUCAGGAUAAAUCCCCGGGUCACAGAGGAAGGGGGAAUCACUCAUCUAGGCCAGAGCCCAAGUGAUCUACAAGAUCCCUCACCAUGGAAAAAAGAAUGAAGAAGUUUAUCCUACCUAGCCCCAGUAGGGGAAGGGAAGAUGGAGGAGCCUGGGAGAGUGCCUACCCCACUGCCCCAGUCCUUAAACACAAAGCAAGGGAAUGAAGAGGACCCUCCCUCUGAAAUACAGCACCAACCUCACCACGGAGGCAGAAGGACAGUGAGUGGGAUUACUUCCCUCUGAAGGAGAGAGUGGAACGGAGCACAUACCGUCCGUGGCUGUGGCACCCUCCCUACCGGGGUUUGGAUGCAGCCUCAGCACCAGGAGUGGGGGAAGGGAGAAGGAAGGACAGGACUGCACUGUCGACAUCUCCCUGGACCCCCAGUGCCCCGGCAGAGGUGCUCCUCUCUGUCACUAGCCCAGGGCAGGGGGAUUCGGAAGAAAUCUGGCAUGAGAUCCAAGGAAAGCUAUUUCUUCUUUCGUUCUUGGGAGCAGCGUGGGCAAAACCUAAAAACCGGCAAAGAGCAGGGCAAGCAAAAGCUUGGUGGUCAGCCCCACACAGGCGAAGUGGAACCACUCGAUGGAACACUGGAAGAGGAAGAUGGAACACAGCAGUCAGGGGCCUGAGCUGGAGGGGAGAGGAGCCAGCUGCAGACUCCUGAGAGGGCCCCUUUACUCCAGCCUUUGGAAACUUCCUGCAAGUCCCCAGGCAACCCAGUCUGACCACUCUCCUAUCCUGCACUCCCUCUCUCCAACUGAAUAAAGUGCCUGCUCCUUUUAUUCA